rnacentral:rRNA from 1 species
GACGAACGCUGGCGGCGUGCCUAAUACAUGCAAGUAGAACGCUGAAGAGAGGAGCUUGCUCUUCUUGGAUGAGUUGCGAACGGGUGAGUAACGCGUAGGUAACCUGCCUUGUAGCGGGGGAUAACUAUUGGAAACGAUAGCUAAUACCGCAUAACAAUGGAUGACACAUGUCAUUUAUUUGAAAGGGGCAAUUGCUCCACUACAAGAUGGACCUGCGUUGUAUUAGCUAGUAGGUGAGGUAAUGGCUCACCUAGGCGACGAUACAUAGCCGACCUGAGAGGGUGAUCGGCCACACUGGGACUGGGACACGGCCCAGACUCCUACGGGAGGCAGCAGUAGGGAAUCUUCGGCAAUGGGGGCAACCCUGACCGAGCAACGCCGCGUGAGUGAAGAAGGUUGUCGGAUCGUAAAGCUCUGUUGUAAGUCAAGGACGGGUGUGAGAGUGGAAAGUUCACACUGUGACGGUAGCUUACCAGAAAGGGACGGCUAACUACGUG